rnacentral:rRNA from 1 species
GUCUAUGGCCAUGCUACCCUGAACAAGCCCGAUCCCAUCUGAUCUUAGAAGCUAAGCAGGGUCAGGCCUGGUUAGUACUUGGAUGAGAGACUACCUAGGAAGACCAGGUGCUGUAGGUG